rnacentral:rRNA from 1 species
GAUGAACGCUGGCGGCGUGCCUAAUACAUGCAAGUCGAGCGAACAGACGAGGAGCUUGCUCCUCUGACGUUAGCGGCGGACGGGUGAGUAACACGUGGAUAACCUACCUAUAAGACUGGGAUAACUUCGGGAAACCGGAGCUAAUACCGGAUAAUAUAUUGAACCGCAUGGUUCAAUAGUGAAAGACGGUUUUGCCGUCACUUAUAGAUGGAUCCGCGCCGCAUUAGCUAGUUGGUAAGGUAACGGCUUACCAAGGCGACGAUGCGUAGCCGACCUGAGAGGGUGAUCGGCCACACUGGAACUGAGACACGGUCCAGACUCCUACGGGAGGCAGCAGUAGGGAAUCUUCCGCAAUGGGCGAAAGCCUGACGGAGCAACGCCGCGUGAGUGAUGAAGGUCUUCGGAUCGUAAAACUCUGUUAUUAGGGAAGAACAACUGUGUAAGUAACUAUGCACGUCUUGACGGUACCUAAUCAGAAAGCCACGGCUAACUACGUG